rnacentral:lncRNA from 1 species
UGCAUUGUGCAUUUUUUCAUUGAUUUAGGCAUUUGUUCAUUUACUUAGACAACAGCUGUUACCAAGCACUUCUUGACUCCCUGCUUUGAGCCAGGAUCUCUGCUAGUCACUGGUAAAGAAGAAUAAGAUUCCCUGUCUUCUUGGGAUUCAUCUUGAAGUGAGGGGCAAUGGAUUGUGAGAUAAUACUCAUCAAAUAUUCAAAUGCGUUCUUACAUUUCCCAGCCUCCAUUGCAGUUAAGUUGGGGCUUUGUAUGUGACAGGUUUUCUUCAGUGUACUGUGACCAGAAGAGAUCCAUGCCACUUUUGGACUUUGGCAGCUGUGAUCUGUUGUGACUCCUCCAACUCUCUCUACCCCUUCAGUGAUAACCUUGGAGGCCACAUAUGCUAGAUGACACAGCUAUAAGAUGGGCAAGGCUACUAUGCUGCAUCAGACCUGGCCUGACUGAGAUAAAUUUUAUACUUUUAUUGUGGUAAAAUAUGCAUAACAUAAAAUUUUCCAUUUUAAACAUUUUUAAGUACACAAUUCAGUGGCAUUAAGUACAUACACAAAGUGGGUAUCUUUGUUUGUAACAGAUAACAGUUCAUUUGAAACUUUGUGCUUAUCCUCUUGUCCAACAACUAUUUAGUAUCCAUAGAAAAUUACUCUUGUAAGCUAUUAUCAUAUCAUUUUAGUGUAGUCAACUUAGGAGGGUCUUAUUAAUAUUUCCUUUUACAAAUGAAAUUGGGGCAGAUAGAGGUUAAAUUAUUCCCCAAUUUACAUAGUUUACCUGAUGGAGCUGGCUGUUUAACAUAUCUGACUCUACACUUUGAAGCAUGCUUUAUACCAGUGGUUGGCAUCUCAUCGCCUGUGGGCAAAUCUGCCUUUUGUUUUUUUAAAUAAAAUUUUAAUAGGAUACAACCAUGCCCAUUCAUUUAUGUAUUGUCUUUGGCUGCUUUCACACUUUUUUAAAAAAAUAUAUUUAAAUAUAGC